UACGGGGGGGGCAAGCGUUGUUCGGAAUUACUGGGCGUAAAGGGCUUGUAGGUGGCCAACUAAGUCAGACGUGAAAUCCCUCGGCUUAACCGGGGAACUGCGUCUGAUACUGGAUGGCUUGAGAUUGGGAGAGGGAUGCGGAAUUCCAGGUGUAGCGGUGAAAUGCGUAGAUAUCUGGAGGAACACCGGUGGCGAAGGCGACAUCCUGGACCAACACUGACGCUGAGGAGCGAAAGCCAGGGGAGCAAACGGG
rnacentral:rRNA from 1 species